rnacentral:rRNA from 1 species
GACGAACGCUGGCGGCGUGCUUAACACAUGCAAGUCGAACGGAAAGGCCCUGCUUUUGUGGGGUGCUCGAGUGGCGAACGGGUGAGUAACACGUGAGUAACCUGCCCUUUACUUUGGGAUAACUUCAGGAAACUGGGGCUAAUACCGGAUAGGAGCUCCUGCUGCAUGGUGGGGGUUGGAAAGUUUCGGCGGUUGGGGAUGGACUCGCGGCUUAUCAGCUUGUUGGUGGGGUAGUGGCUUACCAAGGCUUUUACGGGUAGCCGGCCUGAGAGGGUGACCGGCCACAUUGGGACUGAGAUACGGCCCAGACUCCUACGGGAGGCAGCAGUGGGGAAUAUUGCACAAUGGGCGGAAGCCUGAUGCAGCAACGCCGCGUGCGGGAUGACGGCCUUCGGGUUGUAAACCGCUUUCGCCUGUGACGAAGCGUGAGUGACGGUAAUGGGUAAAGAAGCACCGGCUAACUACGUG